CCUACGGGCGGCUGCAGUGGGGAAUAUUGGACAAUGGGCGAAAGCCUGAUCCAGCCAUGCCGCGUGUGUGAAGAAGGCCUUCGGGUUGUAAAGCACUUUCAGUGGGGAAGAAAGCCUUGGGGCUAAUACCCUCGAGGAAGGACAUCACCCACAGAAGAAGCACCGGCUAACUCCGUGCCAGCAGCCGCGGUAAUACGGAGGGUGCGAGCGUUAAUCGGAAUUACUGGGCGGAAAGCGCGCGUAGGCGGUCUGAUAAGCCGGUUGUGAAAGCCCCGGGCUCAACCUGGGAACGGCAUCCGGAACUGUCAGGCUAGAGUGCAGGAGAGGAAGGUAGAAUUCCCGGUGUAGCGGAGAAAUGCGUAGAGAUCGGGAGGAAUACCAGUGGCGAAGGCGGCCUUCUGGACUGACACUGACGCUGAGGUGCGAAAGCGUGGGUAGCAAACAGGAUUAGAUACCCCAGUAGUC
rnacentral:rRNA from 1 species